rnacentral:rRNA from 1 species
ACAGAGAGCUUGCUCUUGCUGACGAGUGGCGGAGGGGAGUAACGUAUGGGGAUCUGCCGAAUGGAGGGGGACAACAGUUGGAAACGACUGCUAAUACCGCAUAAUGUCGCGAGACCAAAGCAUGGGACCUUAGGGCCAUGCGCCAUUUGAUGAACCCAUAUGGGAUUAGCUAGUAGGUGAGGUAAUGGCUCACCUAGGCGACGAUCUCUAGCUGGUCUGAGAGGAUGACCAGCCACACUGGGACUGAGACACGGCCCAGACUCCUACGGGAGGCAGCAGUAGGGAAUAUUGCACAAUGGGGGAAACCCUGAUGCAGCCAUGCCGCGUGUAUGAAGAAGGCCUUCGGGUUGUAAAGUACUUUCGGUAGCGAGGAAGGGGUUAUAUCUAAUAGGUGUAACCAUUGACGUUAACUACGGGGGGAAGCACCGGCUAACUCCGUGCCAGCAGCCGCGGUAAUACGGAGGGUGCGAGCGUUAAUCGGAAUGACUGGGCGUAAAGGGCAUGUAGGCGGAUAGUUAAGUUAGGUGUGAAAGCCCCGGGCUCAACCUGGGAAUUGCAUUUAAAAACUGGUUUAUCUGGAGUAUUGUAGAGGAAGGUAAGAAUUCCAUGUGUAGCGGUGAAAUGCGUAGAGAUGUGGAGGAAUACCCGGUGGCCAAGGCGGCCUUCUGGACAAAUACUGA